UACGUAGGGUGCAAGCGUUGUCCGGAAUUAUUGGGCGUAAAGAGCUCGUAGGCGGUCUGUCGCGUCUGCUGUGAAAACUCGGGGCUUAACCCCGGGCCUGCAGUGGGUACGGGCAGACUAGAGUGCGGUAGGGGAGACUGGAAUUCCUGGUGUAGCGGUGAAAUGCGCAGAUAUCAGGAGGAACACCGGUGGCGAAGGCGGGUCUCUGGGCCGGAACUGACGCUGUAGAGCGAAAGCGUGGGGAGCGAACAGG
rnacentral:rRNA from 1 species